GAUGAACGCUGGCGGCGUGCCUAAUACAUGCAAGUCGAGCGAACAGAUGAGGAGCUUGCUCCUCUGACGUUAGCGGCGGACGGGUGAGUAACACGUGGAUAACCUACCUAUAAGACUGGGAUAACUUCGGGAAACCGGAGCUAAUACCGGAUAAUAUAUUGAACCGCAUGGUUCAAUAGUGAAAGACGGUUUUGCUGUCACUUAUAGAUGGAUCCGCGCCGCAUUAGCUAGUUGGUAAGGUAACGGCUUACCAAGGCAACGAUGUGUAGCCGACCUGAGAGGGUGAUCGGCCACACUGGAACUGAGACACGGUCCAGACUCCUACGGGAGGCAGCAGUAGGGAAUCUUCCGCAAAGGGCGAAAGCCUGACGGAGCAACGCCGCGUGAGUGAUGAAGGUCUUCGGAUCGUAAAACUCUGUUAUUAGGGAAGAACAAAUGUGUAAGUAACUAUGCACGUCUUGACGGUACCUAAUCAGAAAGCCACGGCUAACUACGUG
rnacentral:rRNA from 1 species